rnacentral:lncRNA from 1 species
UCUAAUACUUCCGUUUUCGAAAGCAACUCGUGUGUGCGCAGAUUAUGUUAAAUUUAAGUUUUAUUAAAUAAAUCCAUUUAUUAAAACAGAAUCGAUCAUCGAAUCCCCCAAUAAAUUAUGGAUUUAGUCUCAAAACCUUACAUUUUAAAUUAAAAAGUGAAAAGAAAUUAAUUUACAGUGACAGUGUCAACGCAAUUGUCUAUACUGCAGUUAUCCGCAGUGCAAACGGAUCGGUUGAACUGGCUAUUUUAAAUUUCUUGUCCAGAGAGAAACUAUUUAGCCAAUAAGCCAGGAAAAUUCAUCGGAACACUUGCAAGAGCAAACUUUAAAGCGAAUGCAAAGCCUUUGCAUGUGCACGAGAUAUAUCAUAUGCUCUACGUAAAGCUUAUACGAGAGAAUAAUAAACAGCAUCAAGAUUAUAUGAGAAAGUAGAAUGGGCAUUUGCAAUCCAUGUUGACGCAAAGAAAGAUGACAACAUUCGGAUCACAGUGAUAUGAAAAAUAAUAGAUUAUGCUAUCACUAUAUAGUAGAUGCAUAUUCUCAUUUGUCCGCUGAUGAGAAAUUCAGUUAUGCACUUAAAUUAAAUACCGAUAUAUGAUCUGAUCAUUGAUCCAAUCAAAGUGUUUAUAAAGCAGCAAAUAUCCCGGCAAUCUGGCAGCAACGUAUUGAAAAAUCAUUCAGAGAAAAAGUUGGAAAAAACCAUCGUAUUGAUGCCAAGGGAUUACACAAAUCGGAUAAAUAUAUAGAGGCAAUUCGUGAUGCACCAAAACCUACUACUGCUGAACUAUUACAGCUAUUCCUGGAGAAAGCAAUAUAUUACAAUAUCUUCAUUCUCAAUCUAUCCACGUUGGAUCGAUCACUAUACACAAAUCAAUUCAUAUGGACACUAACUGCAGAAGAGGCUUGAUGACAAUCAAGAAUAUUUUGAUCUCUCAAGUUCUAAUGCCAUAUGAUCCGACUCUAUUUUUAUGACUAGCAACAGAUGCAAGUAAGACAGAGCUUGGAAAAAUCUUAUUAUAUAUAUUCCCUAAUGAUCAAAAAUCCAAGAACCAACGAAUCAAUUUUUUAUGCGAUUAAAAUAGUGUUGAAUGAAACAAAGCAACACUCAGAUAAACAAGGAAGCAUUAGCGAUUUGGACAAUCCAAAAGUUCUUCUAUUAUGUUUAUGUCCAUCAUUUUAUUUUUGUAACAGAUCAUAAACCAUUGACAAAGAUAUUAUAUCUGGAAAAAUUUCUUCCGAUUCUGUAUAUCAAUAGAAUGGCCAACAUGCUGAUCGCAUUUCAACUUUGAAACUGUUUUCAAAAUUUCUACUAAGGAAAACAUAAAUGCCAACUACUGUUCACGAACAUCACUGCCUGUGAGUAGAAAAACGAUUCAUGCACUGAACGAUCAUAGCAUAAAAGUAGUACAAAGUGAUGAAUUUGACAAAAAUUUGUGCUGCACCAAAUUAAGUAGUUGCUUAUAUGUGCUAAUAACAUCAGCAAGAAAACGAGGAACGAUACAGAUCUAAGAAAAAUAAUCCAAUUACUUGAAUUAAGUGAAAAUUUAAAAAAACAUGCUUAUAUAGCACCAAAAGCUUCAGCAGUAGCAUGUUUAGUAUAUGAGUAUCAAGUUAUUCCCGAUACGCUGCGCAAUCAUAUACUAGCUGAGUUGCAUGAAGAACAUUUGGGAAUUGUCAAGAUGAAAGGGAUGGCAAGAUUGUAAGGCCAAAUACAAAUAAUAUCGAAAAAUAACGGGCAUUAUUUCGUCCUUUUUUCAGAAGCUUCGUGUCAUCAUAACCUAUUUUAUAUCAGGCAACCCAAGAAUGGAUAAAUGGAUAUCUGUAAUAUUGCCACGACAUUCGGAAAUCUCCAUUACGAGAUUAAUUACUGAGCUAAUGGAUCAAACGCUAUGCAGAUCAGGACAGUGUCAACACAACACAGACACUGAUCAAUCAUAGGAUCAAUACAUCCACUCUGAACGAAAGUUCGCUUUUAUAGAUCUUUAAAGCUUACAAUGUUUACUACCAAGUUUAAGCAGGCUACAUCGGGUGCGUCCGCAGCAGAAGUUAUGACAUCUAUGAGUGUCAUAUGAAUGCCAAAUAGGUCACCAUAUUUACGGCCUUGCUCCGACGAUUUAGUAGAAAUACAGCGGUUUCAACAAACCUGUACAUUGCUAUACUUAUCCAAUUACGGAGAUAGAAGAGAAUGCGGUAACAACCCAAAUACCUCCAAUAUUAGACUAGAUAAAGUUUUCAUAAAAGAGGAAGAAAAUGUUGUAUAUGUUACGUUUAACUUAUAAUAUAGAUGUUAUCAUCUAUUGAAACCGAGGGAUGGGCAUUUGAUGGUCAUGUGUAUGAGAUGUAAAUAGUAUAUGUCUAUAAUGUAAGAUGGGCCACGUGCAAUUAAUUUCUAAUGCUUUUUGUAAAAUAUUUUUAUAUAAUGUAAUAAAUACUUUAGAUAAU